UUGUGAAGUUCCCGGUGGGAAAAGCAGUGGCUUAAAGAUUGUUAAAGUUUCAAAUUUAUUAGAGCUUAUAGUUAAAAGAAUACUUACAAUUAUUUUAACAGCAUUGAUUUUUGAUUAUUGUGUUGACAAACUAGCCGAGGUGUUACAAGAGUGCCAUGAGAACCAGCUCAGCCUUCAACUCCCCAAAGACCUGUCAACCAGCACGCUACAAAAAGGGAAGCUCGCCUUCCGCCUUCCGCCUUUCGCCUUCUGCAUUCACCUGUUCCUAUCAUGGCCCGGGGUCUUGCUCUGCUGUAUCCGUUCUCUCUCCACAUGUUACUCAUUUCUAUUAUAGAUUCCUCGCACUACUAGUACUACCUGUUCCCGAUAGAUCCUUCCAGAAUUAGGCUAUGGAGUUCCUUUCCUGAGGCAAUAUGACGGUGAUACCCACCCCACUUGCUCUGCCUGUCCUCACCUAAGCUCCACCAGUCGCAUUGCUUUAUUGAUUCCCCCCUCCUUCCUCGAGAACCGUUCGUCACUAUGUUAGAUCCUCGAGAUGACCAUGCAAGAUGGUUCAGUUCUAGUUGACAUUCCACUAUAUGAAAAGGCCAGAUCGCCACUUUAUAUUCUUAUUCCUUGAGAGAGAGAGAACCGGAACAGCGACCUCGUGAAUCAUCCUAUUUAAUCGCUUCACCCUCGCCACAUUCGCUACUACUUCAAUUAUUGGGAAUACCGAAAAAGUUACGAACAAGUUGAGAGAACUUACAAGGUCAGAUGUUGUAGCGAUAAUAAAUAAAUUAGAAACAUUGCCCUUUGUAGCAGCAAAUCCUUUUGCACUGUGUUAGAAUUGUUUAUGCUGUGUGAAGUAGUACCGUCGGCUGAUCGAAGUAUAGCCGCUUAGUAGUAUCAUAUUUAAAAAAAGUCAAGUAGUUUAGAUAAGAGUUGUAGUAUUCGAAUUAAGAAGUAUGUAUUAUUGAUUAAGUAAUUGCGUGAAUUAAAGAUAUAAACGGCUGAUCGAAGAAUAGCCAAUGUAGAGUUUCGUAUUUUAAUUUUUUUUUAAAAGUUUAUUUUGUCGUGCUUUUGUGAGAAAAUGUGCUAUAGAAAUUUUAUCGAUCAUAACAUGUAAUUGUAGAAUCAUUAUAACUUUUAAUUGUUGUGCUGUAAUUACCGCUGAAGUAGAGUUAUGUGAAAAAAACCUUGAGGAGAGACACUUUAUAAUUUUAAUUUAAGUUGCCUAUUAGCUGUUUGUAAGGGAAUGAUCCGAUAAAUGUAUUUGAUUAAUAUUAAUUACUUAUUAAACAAUUUAAAAAUUAUUAGAAAAUUUAACAAACGAAAAGUAUUAUCUAAAUGUACCGAGAUGGAAGUAUUUAAGAGGACAUUACCAUGAGGUACACGUUAACGAAGACUAUAAGUAUAGAGAAGUGUAUACCUCCACUGAACAUCAUAUUCCGCACUGUUCUCUCUAAACUCAGUACACCAGAAUAGGCACUACAAUUACAACGACUUUACUUUUAAAUAUUAACUUAUGGUAAUUCAAAUGUUUGUUUGUACGAUUAUAUUUAAUUUUGUUGGUUGUGCGCGAGAAAUUCGAUAGGUCUUUAAAUUAACGAUUUUUUACCAUAAGAACGGGCAUACCUUAUUACUAAUAGUUCUUUUGGAAAUUUUUUAAAAGAAAAAGAAGAAGGUUGUAGAUUUAUCAUUUUCUUUAAAGUAUAGAUAGUUUUGCUUUGACGUGGUCGUCAUUAAUUUUCGAUCGGGGAGAUGUUAGAUAGGGGUAUAGUGAAUUGAGGGUGAACAGGUUUGCAAUAUCUCACGGCCUGUAUUAUGGUAAUUUAUAGAAUAGUUUUAGUUUUACUGAAAGACUGGUAGUCGAUCUAGACUGGUAGUCAGAUAAGUUUUGAAGUCUUUAUCAAUAGGGUUGCAAUGUCCCACGGCGUGAAGCUGUAGUUAGUAUUUUAAGUCUUCGUAAAUUAGUAGUUAUUUAGAGUUGUGAAGUUCCCGGUGGGAAAAGCAGUGGCUUAAAGAUUGUUAAAGUUUCAAAUUUAUUAGAGCUUAUAGUUAAAAGAAUACUUACAAUUAUUUUAACAGCAUUGAUUUUUGAUUAUUGUGUUGACAAACUAGCCGAGGUGUUACAAGAGUGCCAUGAGAACCAGCUCAGCCUUCAACUCCCCAAAGACCUGUCAACCAGCACGCUACAAAAAGGGAAGCUCGCCUUCCGCCUUCCGCCUUUCGCCUUCUGCAUUCACCUGUUCCUAUCAUGGCCCGGGGUCUUGCUCUGCUGUAUCCGUUCUCUCUCCACAUGUUACUCAUUUCUAUUAUAGAUUCCUCGCACUACUAGUACUACCUGUUCCCGAUAGAUCCUUCCAGAAUUAGGCUAUGGAGUUCCUUUCCUGAGGCAAUAUGACGGUGAUACCCACCCCACUUGCUCUGCCUGUCCUCACCUAAGCUCCACCAGUCGCAUUGCUUUAUUGAUUCCCCCCUCCUUCCUCGAGAACCGUUCGUCACUAUGUUAGAUCCUCGAGAUGACCAUGCAAGAUGGUUCAGUUCUAGUUGACAUUCCACUAUAUGAAAAGGCCAGAUCGCCACUUUAUAUUCUUAUUCCUUGAGAGAGAGAGAACCGGAACAGCAACCUCGUGAAUCAUCCUAUUUAAUCGCUUCACCCUCGCCACAUUCGCUACUACUUCAAUUAUUGGGGUAAAUGGACAUUAAGACUAAGUUAUGAGAUAUGAGAGAUAAAUUAAUAUUGUAGUCCUAUUUAACCCUAUUAUUUUACAACCCUUU